rnacentral:misc_RNA from 1 species
GUCCAUCUUCUUUUUUAUGAAAGAAGUUACUUCUUGUGCCAGCCUUAAGCCCAUUUCUCUAAAGUCUCCCGCUGUUUUUUCUUCAUUAACUUCUGACAUAAGAAACUCCAUCUUGGGAUCUAUUAAAAGCCACUGGUUUCGAACAAGGCGCAAGUCUAAAUGAUGUCCCUGAAAUCCAUGGACAAAAACCACAAUCUUCAAAACACGGCCAUUUUGACAUGGGGUUGCACCAUGAAUCUUUUUUGAGCCUUUAGAGUGUGUCUCAAUUAGCAAGCUAUUUGCAUCUUUUGGCUCCCGGUGGAUGAAGUAUGAAUUUCCACUUGUUGACCGCA